UUAAACAACAUGGAGAGUUUGAUCCUGGCUCAGGAUGAACGCCUGGCGGUAUGCCUAACACAUGGCAAGUCGAACGAAGCCUUUCGGGGCUUAGUGGCGGACGGGUGAGUAACGCGUGAGAAUCUGCCAUCAGG
rnacentral:rRNA from 1 species